AAGUCGUAACAAGGUUUCCGUAGGUGAACCUGCGGAAGGAUCAUUAACAAAUCAUCGGCCUUCGGGCCAUUGACGCCUGGCUUCGGCCAGGACAUUUCUGCUUGCAUGUUUGACUGAACUGAAAUCCAAAUUAUAUACAACUUUUAACAAUGGAUCUCUUGGCUCUU
rnacentral:misc_RNA from 1 species